CUUCUUGGAGUUCUUCGUUUCUCCUUCCCGAACACAAACCGAGUGAGAGAGAUGGAACCAAGAAGACUCAGGAGACCCAUAUUCCAGUCAAACCCGACGCCGCUUGUAACCUGUUUUAACCAAAACAGCACCACCGUGACCCAUGCCGCACCAUUCCAGCAACCUGUAGCUCAGCAAAAGAAACCCGUGACCCAGCCGAGCUCGACUCGUGGACGUGUGCCGGAGAUGAUGAAUUGAGACAGCACAAAAGGACUAUGACUGUGCAGGCACAGACACUGACGAGUAUCAGGAUUAUCAGGAGCCUUAUGAUGAUCCUGGUUUCAUAGAUGAGACUGUCUAAAGUCUCCUUUUUAUGAUAGACUUGCUGAACAGUUUAUCUUCCAUGUCGUUACUAGGUUUUAUUUUAUGUACUUUCUAGACAUCUUAUGCUUUAUGUUAUGGUUUGUAAUAUGACUACUAUUACAUAGGACGUGAGCCGUGGUGGCCCUUAUGUUAUUGCUUUUGUGUGUAUUUAUUUGUAAGACCUUUUAUUAUUAUUUUAAUGUAAGUUGAGGUAUUUCAAUUAAA